AAUUACACCAGCAAUCUUUAUUGUAUAUCUUUCAUUGAUCAUAUUAAAGACUAUGCAAGCAUUAUUCUUUGUAUUUAUGAAAGUUACACAGUUAGCAACGGUAUGCAGCUAUUUCCUCCGUUACAUUCUACAGUUGGAAUUUGCAAUGUUAAGAGCACUGUGCAGCUCUCAAGAAAGUCCAUCCUUUAAAGUUACUUUAAAGCAUCCUUUAAAGCAGCGGAACUGGUGAAACAUUGUGGUUGACUUAGCAAGGAACUUUGUGCCUGAGAAUAAGGUCAUAGCUGAAAAGUCUCCCACAACAGAGUCUCCCCCAUGGAGAGCAUUGCCAUAGCAACCGGGCAUCGUAUACUUUUGCGUAGAAACUUUUCCAGUCACCAAGCAUGCCACUGCCAUUACAUCAUUAGAGACCUCCAUCUGAGACACUUGUCUCCCAAUCACUGUCCUGGUCUCCACAGGGGAUUGAACCCAAGGCUGCUUUACCACUGAGCUACACCCUCACCAAGGCUCCCCCUCUUUUUUUCUUUCUUGAGACAGUGGUAGACUCUGUUGCCCAGGCUGACCUUACACUCAUCUAAAACUAGAGCAAUGUGGUCUCUGAACCUUUACCCCAAUGGUAGUCACAUUUGCUGGGAACUCAGCUGAAGUGGUUCAAUUAAAGUAAUGACUUUGGAAUUGUAUAGGAUGUGACUACUGUUUCCAACCCAUUCUACCAGGCCUGGUAGAAAUUUGCAAGUCCAUUUUUAUGUCUCCAGAUCAUAAGAAAAAAUAUUUUUUCAAAUUUUCACAGAUGUACCAAUAUCACACAG
rnacentral:lncRNA from 1 species